rnacentral:rRNA from 1 species
ANCCAUAGUGUGCUCUGGAAACUNUCUGACUUGAGUGCAGAAGGGGAGAGUGGAAUUCCAUGUGUAGCGGUGAAAUGCGUAGAUAUAUGGAGGAACACCAGUGGCGAAAGCGGCUCUCUGGUCUGUCACUGACGCUGAGGCUCGAAAGCGUGGGUAGCGAACAGGAUUAGAUACCCUGGUAGUCCACGCCGUAAACGAUGAGUGCUAGGUGUUAGGCCCUUUCCGGGGCUUAGUGCCGGAGCUAACGCAAUAAGCACUCCGCCUGGGGAGUACGACCGCAAGGUUGAAACUCAAAGGAAUUGACGGGGGCCCGCACAAGCGGUGGAGCAUGUGGUUUAAUUCGAAGCAACGCGAAGAACCUUACCAGGUCUUGACAUCCCGAUGCUAUUCUUAGAGAUAGGAAGUUACUUCGGUACAUCGGAGACAGGUGGUGCAUGGUUGUCGUCAGCUCGUGUCGUGAGAUGUUGGGUUAAGUCCCGCAACGAGCGCAACCCUUAUUGUUAGUUGCCAUCAUUAAGUUGGGCACUCUAGCGAGACUGCCGGUAAUAAACCGGAGGAAGGUGGGGAUGACGUCAAAUCAUCAUGCCCCUUAUGACCUGGGCUACACACGUGCUACAAUGGUCGGUACAACGAGUUGCGAGCCGGUGACGGCAAGCUAAUCUCUGAAAGCCGAUCUCAGUUCGGAUUGGAGGCUGCAACUCGCCUCCGUGAAGUCGGAAUCGCUAGUAAUCGCGGAUCAGCACGCCGCGGUGAAUACGUUCCCGGGCCUUGUACACACCGCCCGUCACACCACGAGAGUUUGUAACACCCGAAGUCGGUGAGGUANCCUUUUAGGG